rnacentral:lncRNA from 1 species
AUGAUCACUUGCAAAGUUAAGUCUAACAUACAAACAAGUGGGUCUAUUAUGGGUAUGUGGGGAAUGUAUUUGCGCUUGUAUCUGUCAGGUUCUCAAGAUAAAAGAAAGAAUAGGGUCACAAUUGAUAAAGAAAUUGUGUCCAAAAUGUUGCAAGUGAGGCAGGAAAGCUAGAGAGAGUAUAAUGCAGUAAAUCAGAGCUAUAAUAUUAACUGGAGCUUCAUUACCAUUCCUGGGAUUAGAGAAACAAUUGAAAGAAGCAUGUAACUUCUGUUAUUUUCAUAGAUAAUGCAUUCAUG